GCGUAAGAGCCCGUAGGUCGUUUGUUACGUCGGAUGUGAAAACCUGAGGCUCAACCUCAGGCCUGCAUUCGAUACGGGCAAACUAGAGUUUGGUAGGGGAGACUGGAAUUCCUGGUGUAGCGGUGGAAUGCGCAGAUAUCAGGAGGAACACCAAUGGCGAAGGCAGGUCUCUGGGCCAAUACUGACACUGAGGAGCGAAAGUCUGGGGAGCGAACAGGAUUAGAUACCCUGGUAGUCCAGACCGUAAACGGUGGGCACUAGUUGUGGGAACCUUCCACGGUUUCUGCGACGCAGCUAACGCAUUAAGUGCCCCGCCUGGGGAGUACGAUCGCAAGAUUAAAACUCAAAGGAAUUGACGGGGCCCCGCACAAGCAGCGGAGCAUGCGGCUUAAUUCGACGCAACGCGAAGAACCUUACCAAGGCUUGACAUAUAGGGAAAAGUGGCAGAGAUGUCAUGUCCGCAAGGGCUCUAUACAGGUGGUGCAUGGUUGUCGUCAGCUCGUGUCGUGAGAUGUUGGGUUAAGUCCCGCAACGAGCGCAACCCUCGUUCUGUGUUGCCAGCAUUUAGUUGGGGACUCACAGGAGACUGCCGGGGUUAACUCGGAGGAAGGUGGGGAUGACGUCAAAUCAUCAUGCCCCUUAUGUCUUGGGCUGCACGCAUGCUAC
rnacentral:rRNA from 1 species